rnacentral:rRNA from 1 species
AUUUUCCGGUUGAUCCUGCCGGACCCCACUGCUAUCGGGAUAGGACUAAGACAUGCUAGUCGAGUGAUUCAGGCAAAACGAGUCACGGCACACAGCUCAGUAACACGUGGCUAAUCUGCCCUUAGGACGAGAACAACCCCGGGAAACUGGGGCUAAUUCUCGAUAGGCGAAGAACUCUGGAAUGAGUCUUUACCUAAAUAGUGCAACGUUAUCCUCGUUGCAUCGCCUAAGGAUGAGGCCGCGACCGAUCAGGUUGUUGGCGAGGUAAUGGCUCACCAAGCCUUUUACCGGUGCGGGCCGUGAGAGCGGGAGCCCGGAGAUGGGCACUGAGACAAGGGCCCAGGCCCUACGGGGCGCAGCAGUCGCGAAAACUUUGCAAUAAGCGAAAGCUUGACAGGGCUAUCCCGAGUGCCAUCCGCUGAGGAAGGCUUUUACCCAGUCUAGAACGCUGGGGGAAUAAGGAGAGGGCAAGUCUGGUGUCAGCCGCCGCGGUAAUACCAGCUCUCCGAGUGGUGUGGAUGUUUAUUGGGCCUAAAGCAUCCGUAGCUGGCUAGGUCAGUCCCUUGUUAAAUCCACCGAAUUAAUCGUUGGAUUGCGGGGGAUACUGCUUGGCUAGGGGACGAGAGAGGCAGACGGUAUUUUCGGGGUAGGGGUGAAAUCCUAUAAUCCCGGGAAGACCACCAGUGGCGAAGGCUGUCUGCUAGAACGCGCCCGACGGUGAGGGAUGAAAGCUGGGGGAGCGAACCGGAUUAGAUACCCGGGUAGUCCCAGCUGUAAACGAUGCAGACUAGGUGUUUGGACGGCCACGUGCCGUUCUAGUGCCGCAGGGAAAGCUGUUAAGUCUGCCGCCUGGGGAGUACGAUCGCAAGAUUGAAACUUAAAGGAAUUGGCGGGGGAGCACCACAAGGGGUGAAGCUUGCGGUUUAAUUGGAGUCAACGCCCGGAAAUCGUCGGACCUGC